GACGAACGCUGGCGGCGUGCCUAACACAUGCAAGUCGAACGGGGUAGAGAGCUUCGGUUUUCUACUUAGUGGCGAACGGGUGAGUAACGCGUGAGAAACCUGCCUUUCAGUGGGGGACAACAGUUGGAAACGACUGCUAAUACCGCAUAAUGUUAUCGAGCGGCAUCGCUUGAUAACCAAAGCUUUAUGUGCUGAAAGAUGGUCUCGCGUCUGAUUAGCUAGAUGGCGGGGUAACGGCCCACCAUGGCGACGAUCAGUAGCCGGUCUGAGAGGAGGAAGGGCCACAUUGGGACUGGGAUACGGCCCAGAGUCCUACGGGAGGCAGCAGUGGGGAAUAUUGGGCAAUGGGGGAAACCCUGACCCAGCAACGCCGCGUGAAGGAAGAAGGCCUUCGGGUUGUAAACUUCUUUUAGCAGGGACGAAGAACGUGACGGUACCUGCAGAAAAAGCAACGGCUAACUACGUGCCAGCCGCCGCUGUAACAC
rnacentral:rRNA from 1 species